AGUUUGCACAGGGUGUGCAGGCAGCAGCCAGCCCCUCACAUCUCAGCCAGGUCCUCCUGCUUGGCCACAAGUACUGAACAUCUCCUCUUCACCUGAUCCACGAGCUCCAGGUUUAAACACAAGGAAGCCCCAUGUCUACUUGAGAUACCUGCUUCAGCUUCACUGCUGCUGCACUUCAAAGCUCCCCUGGGAUGCCUCAGGCUCCAGCUGCUUGCAUCAGCAGGUAUAGCUUUAUCAGCUCAAAGGAGACCAGAGCCAGGUUGGCAUCAAGCAGGGCUGCAGCUGGAGACACCCUGCUACCACACAGCUACAGUUCUGUGUAAGGUCAGCCCUUUGCCACCCAUGCAGAGCACAGGGUGGCUGUUCCCACCUCUGCCUGGGACCUCACCUGACUUUUAGAAGCAGAUCUUUUCCCCUUUGUAUAACUUGCAUCUCUUCUUACCUUCUGCUUUCACUCCUGGCAACUUUCUGAAGAGCCUAGAGCAUACCUCCAGGAGAGCACCAGCUAACCCCAGAGUCACAUUAAGGACCCUGCAGCAAGUUAC